rnacentral:tRNA from 1 species
AACUAAUGUGUCAGAAUCAAUGUAUUAAAUUUAAGAUUUAACUAUGAAAUUUUUCCUUUAGU